GUUAUUCUGGGUGUAAGAACUGGGCAGAGUGCUCCCCGUUACUUCCCGCGUUGUCUUCAAGCAUCCUUCCCAACCUGUGCACACGUUUGUUCGUGUCUCAGGGGUAACAGGGACAACAGGAAUGAGUGUAAGAGAGCGUGCGAGUGCCAAAGGUAGAAGUGGAGCCCUGUCUAGCACUUUUUAAGAAACUCUAAUUCCUUAGCCAGUGGACAUCACCGGGAUGUAUUUGGGAACAUUUACGCAUUGUCCCUGUUUCCGAUUGCAGGUAGAACUACUGGGCCACGGACGGCCACUGACUUGGACAUCUUCAAAGCCAAGCGGCAUUGUGGUGGAGUUGCCCCGGCUAAGCGUUCAUCAGAUGCCCUGUAAAUGGGGAUGGACUCUGGCACUAACCAAUGUCACUUAACCUGCAGCAGACAGAUGCGUUCUACAGGAGCCUCUAACCACAGGAAACGUCAGGGUUUCCUUUUUUUGUUGUUGUUGUUGUUACACUAAAGAGACUAAAUGAUAUAAAAAUGAUAUAAAAACUG
rnacentral:lncRNA from 1 species